rnacentral:misc_RNA from 1 species
GAUGAAGAACGUAGUGAAAUGCGAUACUUGGUGUGAAUUGCAGAAUCCCGUGAACCAUCGAGUCUUUGAACGCAAGUUGCGCCCGAAGCCAUUAGGCCGAGGGCACGCCUGCCUGGGCGUCACACGUCGUUGCCCCCCCAUCUACUCCUUCGGGAUUGCGGGGGGCGGAUGAUGGCCUCUCGUGCGCCUCGUCGCGCGGUUGGCCUAAAUGCCAAGUCCUCGGCGACGCACGCCACGACAAUCGGUGGUUGCGAAACCUCGGUUGCCUGUCGUGUGUGGUCGUCGCGCAUCGAGGGCUCGAAAAAAUUGCCGGGCUUCGGCUCGACUUUCAACGCGACCCCAGGUCAGGCGGGGUUACCCGCUGAAUUUAAGCAUAUCAAUAAGCGGAGGA